ACCUUGGCUAUAGACUGCUUACUGCUGAAGCUGCUCACCACAGUACAGUAACAGUCUACAGUCAUGGCU
ensembl:miRNA gmo-mir-212-2 gmo-mir-212-2